UACGGAGGAUGCGAGCGUUAUCCGGAUUUAUUGGGCGUAAAGGGUGCGUAGGCGGCCUGCUAAGUCUGGAGUGAAAGGUACCGGCUCAACCGGUACAGGCUCUGGAAACUGGCGGGCUAGAGAGCAGGAGAGGGCGGUGGAACUCCAUGUGUAGCGGUAAAAUGCGUAGAUAUAUGGAAGAACACCAGUGGCGAAGGCGGCCGCCUGGCCUGUUGGUACUGACGCUGAGGCACGAAAGCGUGGGGAGCAAAUAGG
rnacentral:rRNA from 1 species